AUGAUGGAUGAUGAGAAGAAUCAUUCGGAUUCCCAAUGAUUUGCUUUGAACAUGAUAUCAAACAACCAGCUACUUCUGACACAU